UCUCGAUUGGUCUAGUGGUAAGGAUACCUGCUUGUCAUUAGAUGUUAAGUCAUCAAGUAGUCAGUCCGCAGGUGGCCGGGGUUCGAUUCCCCGAUCGAGAG